CACGUAGUUAGCCGGGACUUCUUAGUCAGGUACCGUCUUUUUUCUUCCCUGCUGAUAGAAGUUUACAUACCGAAAUACUUCUUCCUUCACGCGGCGUCGCUGCAUCAGGGUUUCCCCCAUUGUGCAAUAUUCCCCACUGCUGCCUCCCGUAGGAGCCUGGACCGUGUCUCAGUUCCAAUGUGGCCGUUCACCCUCUCAGGCCGGCUACUGAUCGCUGACUUGGUAGCCUCUACCCCACAACUAUCUAAUCAGACGCGGGCCCAUCCUGUACCGUCUCGGCUUUUCACACUGUAACAUGCGUUACUGUGCGCUUAGUGGGGUAUUAGCAGCUGUUCCGGCUGUUGUCCCCCUGUACAGGGCAGGUUGCCCACGCGUACUCACCCGUCCGCCACUAAUCGCUUACUUCUUCCUCCCGAAGCUUUAGUGUAAGCGCUUCGUUCAACUUGCAUGUGUUAGGCACGCCGCAGCGUUCACCC
rnacentral:rRNA from 1 species